ACAUAUUUUAGAGCUAGAAAUCAUUUCUAUAAAAUAAUAAAAAUUACUAUCAAAUCCAAAUUCAACUUACUAUAAAAAUAAGUAUCCUAAAAUAAAUUAAAUGUAACCCAUUUUUUCUUUAUUAUAAACUACACCUUGAUCUGAAUUAUUUUUUUAACAAAAUCUUAAAUAUUAACUUUCUAUAAAAAUAUUUAUAUAACAACGAUAUGUAAACUAAUAAAAAAAGUAAAUUUAAUCGUGGAUUAUCAUUUAUAAAACAGGUUCCUCUGAAAAGAUAAAAUACCGCCAGAAUUUUUAAUUUUAAAGAUUAUAUCUAAUACUAAUUUAAUGUUUUUAUUUACCUUUUUAAUAAUAGGGUAUCUAAUCCUAGUUUAUAAAUAAAUUUUCCCAACUUCAUUAACUAAUACAAAAUUAUUAAAAAAUUAAAAUUUCACCUUAUAAUUUCUUAACAUAAUUUUAUUCUUAAAUAAAUUGAUAUUAAUAAAAUUAAAUUAUAUUAUUUGUAUAACCGCA
rnacentral:rRNA from 1 species